GAUGAACGCUGGCGGCGUGCUUAACACAUGCAAGUCGAACGGAGAGCUAUUGACGGAGUUUUCGGACAACAGAUAUAGUUUCUUAGUGGCGGACGGGUGAGUAACGCGUGAGGAACCUGCCUUGGAGAGGGGAAUAACACAGAGAAAUUUGUGCUAAUACCGCAUAAGACCACAGAGCCGCAUGGCUCAGGGGUCAAAGGAGAAAUCCGCUGAAGGAUGGCCUCGCGUCCGAUUAGCUAGAUGGCGGGGUAACGGCCCACCAUGGCGACGAUCGGUAGCCGGACUGAGAGGUUGAUCGGCCACAUUGGGACUGAGACACGGCCCAG
rnacentral:rRNA from 1 species